AACCCGACUACAUGAAGCCGGAAUCGCUAGUAAUCGCGGAUCAGAAUGCCGCGGUGAAUACGUUCCCGGGUCUUGUACACACCGCCCGUCACACCAUGGGAGUCGGAAAUGCCCGAAGUCUGUGACCCAACCGCAAGGAGGGAGCAGCCGAAGGCAGGUCGGAUGACUGGGGUGAAGUCGUAACAAGGUAAC
rnacentral:rRNA from 1 species